AAUCUCUAAAACCCGGAAUACUAAAAUGGGGAAUCUCUAAAACCCGGAAUACUAAAAUGGGGGAUUCCCCAUUUUAGUAUUCCGGGUUUUAGAGAU